AAAUCAAAGUUCUUCAKAAAUUUGCAUAUCAUUCCUUAUUUGGGAAUGUGUACGUUGUGAUCCAACAUGGCGGACGAGAAGACAUCUCAAAGACUAAAAAAACGUCUAUAAUUUAUAUUUUCACAGUGACUUUCACAAGAGAAAGCGAAUUGRAAUAGUCUUCAUUAUGGAUGACGACAAAAGUGAUAGUACAAUGCUGACUAUUGGUGGAACCUAUGGAGAGAUUCCAGAUGAGUUGCCUAAUGAUUCUCCAAGAAC